UUGAGCCUCUAAGGGCUUCCAAUACUGCUCGAUUUGGAUCAUAAAUUCUCAUUCUCUUGAUGUUAGAUUGUUUAUAGAGAGCUAUGACCUCUGAAACAGAUGGAAGGUUGUUGCCUUGCAUUCCAUAGCAAACGCCUACCUGGGCAUCUGUUAUACCAAGGCUUGCUGUAAAGAAAAUCAGAAGAAGCAUGACAGUAGUUCUUGAGGGCAGGGAACUACUAGUUCCUGAAGUUGAAGAGGAGAUAGCCAUUAAGAAGGGGGGAAAUUAG
rnacentral:misc_RNA from 1 species